UACGGAGGGUGCGAGCGUUGUCCGGAAUCACUGGGCGUAAAGGGCGCGUAGGCGGUCUGCUAAGCGUGCGGUGAAAGCCUGGGGCUCAACCCCAGGUCUGCCGUGCGAACUGGUGGACUUGAGCACUGUAGAGGCAGGUGGAAUUCCGGGUGUAGCGGUGGAAUGCGUAGAGAUCCGGAAGAACACCGGUGGCGAAGGCGGCCUGCUGGGCAGUUGCUGACGCUGAGGCGCGACAGCGUGGGGAGCAAACAGG
rnacentral:rRNA from 2 species